AAGGGUAUAGCUCAGUGGUAGAGUGUGUGCUUAGCAUGCAGGAGGUCCUGGGUUCAAAACCCCAGUACCUCCA
rnacentral:tRNA from 1 species